rnacentral:rRNA from 1 species
GACGAACGCUGGCGGCGUGCUUAACACAUGCAAGUCGAACGGAAAGGCCCUGCUUUUGUGGGGUGCUCGAGUGGCGAACGGGUGAGUAACAUGUGAGUAACCUGCCCUUGACUUUGGGAUAACUUCAGGAAACUGGGGCUAAUACCGGGUAGGAGCUCCUGCUGCAUGGUGGGGGUUGGAAAGUUUCGGCGGUUGGGGAUGGACUCGCGGCUUAUCAGCUUGUUGGUGGGGUAGUGGCUUACCAAGGCUUUGACGGGUAGCCGGCCUGAGAGGGUGACCGGCCACAUUGGGCCUGAGAUACGGCCCAGACUCCUACGGGAGGCAGCAGUGGGGAAUAUUGCACAAUGGGCGGAAGCCUGAUGCAGCAACGCCGCGUGCGGGAUGACGGCCUUCGGGUUGUAAACCGCUUUCGCCUGUGACGAAGCGUGAGUGACGGUAAUGGGUAAAGAAGCACCGGCUAACUACGUG